rnacentral:rRNA from 1 species
GACGAACGCUGGCGGCGUGCCUAAUACAUGCAAGUCGAACGCACGAAGUUGAAGAGCUUGCUCUUUAACCAAGUGAGUGGCGGACGGGUGAGUAACACGUGGGUAACCUGCCCAUUAGAGGGGGAUAACAUUCGGAAACGGAUGCUAAUACCGCAUAGUUUCAGGAAUCGCAUGAUUCUUGAAGGAAAGGUGGCUUCGGCUACCACUAAUGGAUGGACCCGCGGCGUAUUAGCUAGUUGGUGAGGUAAUGGCUCACCAAGGCAAUGAUACGUAGCAGGCCUGAGAGGGUGAGCGGCAACACUGGGACUGAGACACGGCCCAGACUCCUACGGGAGGCAGCAGUAUGGAAUCUUCCGCAAUGGACGAAAGUCUGACGGAGCAACGCCGCGUGAGUGAAGAAGGUUUUCGGAUCGUAAAACUCUGUUGUUAAAGAAGAACAAGGAUGAGAGUAACUGCUCAUCCCCUGACGGUAUUUAACCAGAAAGCCACGGCUAACUACGUGCCAGCAGCCGCGGUAA